AAAAAGUGGGGCUAAAAUAGAAAGUUAAAUAAACAUUUACUUUUUUGAUUUGUUUUAUAAACAGGUUCUGGUGCCAACGGUAUGAAGAAAAGCUGUCUGAAAUUAUUGCAUCACUACUUACAUCAAAAUAUCCGAGUUCAUCUCCCAACAAAAGAAAACGACCAUCAAAGGGGAAUUUCGUCGCGAGUAGUACUCCUUCUGCUGAUCAAGUAUUAUACCAUCUAGAGCAUUAUAGAAGAAGUUGCAGGCAUGGUACAGGUACUGGCCUUUACGUUCAUGAUAUGAUGCAGCGGGCACUGCAAUCCGCGCACUCUCACAGUAAUGAGGUCACAAAGAAACAAUUUAGCGAUAUGUUUGCACUGGCAGCGGAAGACGAUACAACAGCAGUUGUGCGACGCGGUGGAAAAAAGGAUGCCAACAAUCAUAGCACCACCAAUAAGAAGAAUUCUGAAAUGAUGAAAACAAUAUAUUCUUCAGAUGAAAACUUUAGUGAGGAGGAUUGGUCGAAACCUAAAAUGGCACAAGUGGCAAAGAAAAGAAAAAAAGCUAUUAAUGAUUCUGACUGACAGUUUGACUUUCAAUUGCUGUGGCCUAGUUAAUGUGACGCAGAAAAACAUUUAAAAUCCUCUUAUCGAAUAAAUUUAUAAUAUUUAUUUGAUUAGAUUAACUCGAUUAAGGAUUUUAAAAUUAAUACGAAUGUAAACUUUAAGCAAAUUAAAAAACGUUUUAAUGUAAAACUUGCAA